GUAGGGGGCAAGCGUUAUCCGGAUUUACUGGGUGUAAAGGGAGCGUAGACGGCUGUGCAAGUCUGAAGCGAAAGGCAUGGGCUCAACCUGUGGACUGCUUUGGAAACUGUGCAGCUAGAGUACCGGAGAGGUAAGCGGAAUUCCUAGUGUAGCGGUGAAAUGCGUAGAUAUUAGGAGGAACACCAGUGGCGAAGGCGGCUUACUGGACGGUAACUGACGUUGAGGCUCGAAAGCGUGGGGAGCAAACAGGAUUAGAUACCCUGGUAGUCCACGCCGUAAACGAUGACUACUAGGUGUCGGGCAGCAAAGCUGUUCGGUGCCGCAGCAAACGCAAUAAGUAGUCCACCUGGGGAGUACGUUCGCAAGAAUGAAACUCAA
rnacentral:rRNA from 1 species